GGCAUAUAGAACUCAUGAUUCUGAAGCAUUUGAAGGAGAUGUGCAUAAGAAAACAAAAACUGGGAAGCGCCUUUUUCUUCUUUGACCCUCAGUUAUCUGGUUGUAUCAUGUUAAUAUUAAAGCACCUGAUCUGUCGGGUUGCAUACACCUAUAGGAAUAUAUAGCCUCGAAGUGUAGUUUGUCAUACACCUAUAGGAAUAUAUAGCCUCGAAGUGUAGUUUGUUCUCAUCUUGCAUUGCUUUGUGAGAAAAUGAUCUUGUGUAUACACGCUGUAUCGCUCUGCAUGUGAAAGAGCUUUUUCAGAUAUGGUGAAAAUUGUUCUUUCCCAUAGAA
rnacentral:lncRNA from 1 species